AUUGAACGCUGGCGGCAUGCCUUACACAUGCAAGUCGAACGGUAGAGGGGCAACCCUCGAGAGUGGCGAACGGGUGAGUAAUGCAUCGGAACGUGCCCAGUCGUGGGGGAUAACGUAGCGAAAGCUACGCUAAUACCGCAUACGACCUGAGGGUGAAAGCGGGGGACCUGCAAGGGCCUCGCGCGAUUGGAGCGGCCGAUGUCAGAUUAGGUAGUUGGUGGGGUAAAGGCCUACCAAGCCGACGAUCUGUAGCUGGUCUGAGAGGACGACCAGCCACACUGGGACUGAGACACGGCCCAGACUCCUACGGGAGGCAGCAGUGGGGAAUUUUGGACAAUGGGCGCAAGCCUGAUCCAGCCAUGCCGCGUGCGGGAAGAAGGCCUUCGGGUUGUAAAGCACUUUAAGCGAGGAGGAAUGGCUGAGGGUUAAUAACCUUCAGCAGUGACGUUACUCGCAGAAUAAGCACCGGCUAACUCUGUGCCAGCAGCCGCCGUAACAC
rnacentral:rRNA from 1 species